GGGCCCGCACAAGCGGCGGAGCAUGCGGAUUAAUUCGAAGAUACGCGCAGAACCUUACCAACACUUGACAUGUUCGUCGCGACUUUAAGAGAUUAAAGUUUUCGGUUCGGCCGGACGAAACACAGGUGCUGCAUGGCUGUCGUCAGCUCGUGUCGUGAGAUGUUGGGUUAAGUCCCGCAACGAGCGCAACCCUCACUUUUAGUUGCCAUCAUUAAGUUGGGCACUCUGAAAGAACUGCCAGUGAUAAGCUGGAGGAAGGUGGGGAUGACGUCAAGUCCUCAUGGCCCUUACGUGUUGGGCUACACACGUGCUACAAUGGUAUCUACAACAGGAAGCAAAACAGCGAUGUUAAGCAAA
rnacentral:rRNA from 1 species